GGAGCAGGAGGAGAUGAUGAGUGCCAAGAUGUGUCCAGCAGGGUCAAGCAGAGAUGAUGGGCACCACAAUGAGUUGGGCAGGACCAGGAGGAGAUGAUGGGCACCAAAACAGGUCCAGGAGAAGCAGGGUGAGAUGAUGGGUGCCAAGAUCGGAGCAGGAGGUGAUGAUGGGCACCAAGAUGGGUACAGGAGGAGCAGGAGGAGAUGAUGGGGGUCAGGAUGGGUGUUUCAAGGCCAGGAGCAGAUGGUGGGUCC